GUUUAAUCUAAAAAUGGCUGCCGAGUCUGAAGAACUUAUGGCCCAACAUAUCAUAGAGCUCACAAAUUUCCCUGACUUUUUGGACUCUUCAAGCUUAAUCAUAAAAAUCCCAAUUGCCCGUUUAAGGUAAUUUUGGUCUCGAGCUUACUGCUAACAUGGAAGUAAAACGAUGGUGUCGUUUAUUCUGGAGCAAACGUUGAAGAUUGUUCAUGGCAUGAAUUGGGAACCUGUGUGGAAUGGGUCCCCCUCCCCAACGUGCUACGAAGUGGGAAGGCGACAAAACUCAAGGCCAGGUGGCCAACGGACACCGCUGGUACGGUGGUGCCACGAGUACAAUGUGGUUGUUAUAUGACGCAGACGGGAACGGGAAACCAAACCCUAGACUCCGCUUCAGAUCUCAUCCUAAUUUUUCACAUACCUCAAAUUCAACUAUCUUCAAUUCAACCCCUAUUAUCCAGCUUAUAACACCAUAAUCAUCUCGGUUAUGGUUUCCUUUUGCUACUCUUAAGCCAACUGUGCUGGCUCUGCUUCUCACUUGACAAGUUGGUGUGCAAGUUUAUCUCAAUUCUCUCUAUUUCUCAAAUUGUAUAAACCUGAUUUGCUGAGGUGUUUCUGAGUUUUUGAUAUUUUUGUUCUAAAAUCAUUGGGUUUCACGUGAAUUUGUUCGGAAGCUGAUUAUAAUAGUGUGGGUAGAAUUCUAGUUGUGUAUUUGUGAAUCGACUGGUAGGUUAGAUUAUUCAUCUGUGGUUUUGGAGAUUUGAGUGAAAUUAAUGGACACUGUUAGAUUUAUGGGUUUUGUGAAAUUUGAAUGGAAGAAU
rnacentral:misc_RNA from 1 species